GAUGAACGCUGGCGGCGUGCUUAACACAUGCAAGUCGAACGAAGCACCUUGAUUUGAUUCUUCGGAUGAAGAUCUUGGUGACUGAGUGGCGGACGGGUGAGUAACGCGUGGGUAACCUGCCUCAUACAGGGGGAUAACAGUUAGAAAUGACUGCUAAUACCGCAUAAGACCACAGCACCGCAUGGUGCAGGGGCAAAAACUCCGGUGGUAUGAGAUGGACCCGCGUCUGAUUAGCUAGUUGGUGAGAUAACUGCCUACCAAGGCGACGAUCAGUAGCCGACCUGAGAGGGUGAUCGGCCACAUUGGAACUGAGACACGGUCCAA
rnacentral:rRNA from 1 species